rnacentral:rRNA from 1 species
CGUCGUGCUCGACAGAAGGGAGCUUGCUCCCGGAUGUUAGCGGCGGACGGGUGAGUAACACGUGGGUAACCUGCCUGUAAGACUGGGAUAACUCCGGGAAACCGGAGCUAAUACCGGAUAGUUCCUUGAACCGCAUGGUUCAAGGAUGAAAGACGGUUUCGGCUGUCACUUACAGAUGGACCCGCGGCGCAUUAGCUAGUUGGUGGGGUAAUGGCUCACCAAGGCGACGAUGCGUAGCCGACCUGAGAGGGUGAUCGGCCACACUGGGACUGAGACACGGCCCAGACUCCUACGGGAGGCAGCAGUAGGGAAUCUUCCGCAAUGGACGAAAGUCUGACGGAGCAACGCCGCGUGAGUGAUGAAGGUUUUCGGAUCGUAAAGCUCUGUUGUUAGGGAAGAACAAGUGCGAGAGUAACUGCUCGCACCUUGACGGUACCUAACCAGAAAGCCACGGCUAACUACGUGCCAGCAGCCGCGGUAAUACGUAGGUGGCAAGCGUUGUCCGGAAUUAUUGGGCGUAAAGGGCUCGCAGGCGGUUUCUUAAGUCUGAUGUGAAAGCCCCCGGCUCAACCGGGGAGGGUCAUUGGAAACUGGGAAACUUGAGUGCAGAAGAGGAGAGUGGAAUUCCACGUGUAGCGGUGAAAUGCGUAGAGAUGUGGAGGAACACCAGUGGCGAAGGCGACUCUCUGGUCUGUAACUGACGCUGAGGAGCGAAAGCGUGGGGAGCGAACAGGAUUAGAUACCCUGGUAG